rnacentral:snoRNA from 1 species
AAGCAGGACGUCAAAUCCAUGGAUGCAGAUGCUGUGGUCCCUUUCGGAGCUAAAUCCUGCCAGAAGA